rnacentral:rRNA from 1 species
UUGAUCCUGGCUCAGGAUUAACGCUGGCGGCAUGCCUAAUACCAAUGCAAGUCGAUCGGGUGCAGCAAUGCAUCAGAGGCGAACGGGUGAGUAACACGUAUCCAAUUUACCCCCAUAGCGAGGGAUAACUUAGUCGAAAGAUUAGCUAAUACCGCAUAACGAUUAAAAUAUCGCAUGAGAAUUAAUUUAAAGAUCCGUUUGGAUUACUAUGGGAUAAGGGUGCGGCAUAUCAGCUAGUUGGUGAGGUAACGGCCCACCAAGGCAAUGACGUGUAGUUAUGCUGAGAGGUAGAAUAACCACAAUGGAACUGAGACACGGUCCAUACUCCUACGGGAGGCAGCAGUAGGGAAUUUUUCACAAUGGACGAAAGUCUGAUGGAGCAAUGCCGCGUGAACGAUGAAGGUCUUUGUAGAUUGUAAAGUUCUUUUAUUUAGGAAGAAAAGCUAGUAAAGGAAAUGUUAUUAGUUUGACCGUACUAUUUGAAUAAGUAACGACUAACUAUGUGCCAGCAGUCGCGGUAAUACAUAGGUUGCAAGCGUUAUCCGGAUUUAUUGGGCGUAAAACAAGCGCAGGCGGAUUAGAAAGUCUGGUGUUAAAAUCAACUGCUUAACGGUUGAAUGCAUUGGAAAACUUCUAGUCUAGAGUGUGGUAGAGAGUUCUGGAACUCCAUGUGGAGCGGUGGAAUGCGUAGAUAUAUGGAAGAACACCAGCUGCGAAGGCGAGAACUUAGGCCAUUACUGACGCUUAGGCUUGAAAAGUGUGGGGAGCAAAUAGGAUUAGAUACCCUAGUAGUCCACACCGUAAACGAUGGAUGUUAAACGUCGGGGCGAUCACCUCGGUGUUGCAGUUAACACAUUAAACAUCCUGCCUGGGUAGUACAUUCGCAAGAAUGAAACUCAAACGGAAUUGACGGGGACCCGCACAAGUGGUGGAGCAUGUUGCUUAAUUCGACGGUACACGAAAAACCUUACCUAGACUUGACAUCCUUGGCAAAACUAUAGAAAUAUAGUCGAGGUUAACCGAAAGACAGGUGGUGCAUGGUUGUCGUCAGCUCGUGUCGUGAGAUGUUGGGUUAAGUCCCGCAACGAGCGCAACCCUUAUCGUUAGUUACUUUGUCUAACGAGACUGCCAACGCAAGUUGGAGGAAGGUGGGGAUGACGUCAAAUCAUCAUGCCCCUUAUGUCUAGGGCUGCAAACGUGCUACAAUGGCCAAUACAAACAGUUACCAAACCGUAAGGUGGAGUUAAUCUGCAAAGUUGGUCUCAGUUCGGAUUGAGGGCUGCAAUUCGCCCUCAUGAAGUCGGAAUCACUAGUAAUCGCGAAUCCAGCUAUGUCGCGGUGAAUACGUUCUCGGGUCUUGUACACACCGCCCGUCAAACUACGAGAGUUGAUAGUGUCUAAAACCGUGUUGCUAACCGCAAGGAAGCGCAUGUCUAGGACAAGAUUAAUGAUUGGAGUUAAGUCGUAACAAGGUACCCCUACGAGAACGUGGGGGUGGAUCACCUCCUUU